rnacentral:lncRNA from 1 species
AAUACUAAUAUCUGGCUACGGGCAGUACCCUUUGAAAGUUUUCUUCUCUCGUACUCCAUCUCUCAUUACUGGCGUUGGGAAGGAGUACAUUCUGAGCGAUUUGCUUUCUAUCUCACCGACUGAAAAGCCUUGCUCUCUGUCUCUCUCUCCUCCACUCCUGUCCAUGUUGGGUAGGAGUCCCUACUGAAUGAGAGCCUUCCUCUCUCUCUCUCUAACUACUGUUCAUGUUGGGUAGGAGUACCUACUGAAUGAUUCUUCCUCUCUCUCUCUCUAUCUCUCUCUCUGUGUCUGUGUUUACUGUUCAUGUUUGAUAGGAACACCUGGUGAAAGCCUUCGUCCACAAGAACCUCUCUCUCUCUCUCUCCCGCGUCAAUAACCCAGUGAAAAUCUUUGCCCGACAGAACCUCACUCUCUCUCUCUCUCUCGGUGAUCACUGUUCCUUGGGGUAUCUCCACGACGACCGACGAACAGAUCGGGCGAGGGGAGGCCCCGCCCCGCACCUGUUAAUGUGAUCGAUCUCAGAAGGUCACAGAAAGAGACAAAGAUAGAGAGGGAGAAAGAGCGAGAGAGAGAGAGGGCCGAUGCGGUGAACAGAGAAGAGAACAGUGUCUUGAGGGAGUUCCCCUUCCCCGAGGAGGGAGAAGAUCCACGCCGGGGAAGAGGGCGGCGGGACGCCUCCUGGUCGAUCUUCCAAUCGUCCCUCGCAUUGAAGCUUUUCCCCUGGGGACGGUCCUCGCCGGAGCUACUCCCCUCUGACCGCCAAGUCCCAUCGGAGGACCGCGCCGUGUCCUUCCCUCUGUCCUCUCCGAUACGAAGUAUCUUCUCCGAGCCUCUCGCUCCGCCCCCCGACCCCCCCUUCUGUGCUUCAUCCCCCUCGUCCAAUUUAUUAGCCCCUCUCUGCUCCGUCGUACCCGCGGCGGAGCCCUCCGCCG